CCCGCAGACACGGAGCGGUUCGGCUGACGGCCCUCGGGACGGGCCCGGCCUGCCUUCCGGGGCUGCUGCGCCCCACAUCCUCCAGUGAGGCUGCCUGCGUGCCCGUACGUGCUGGUUGUGUUACUCUGAGGGUCUGCAGGUAACGACGUUUGUGCAAUGAGGGCGGCGAGGCAGUGCCACAGGUUGCCCGGAGAGGCGGUGUGCCCCGUCCCUGCACACACCCAGGGUCAGGACGGAGGGGCUCUGAGCACUGACGGGGCUGUAGGUGUCCCUGUUGGUGCAUCGGGCUGGACCCGAUGACCUUCAAAGCUCCCUUCCAACUCCGGCUUCUUAUGAUCCUAUGCUGGCCAUGUGCUUCCCUCUGCUGUCUGCUGUGGAACGUAAGGCGUUAUCGGGUCUACGGUAAGACCUGGGAUAAACCUUCAACUUCCAGUAAGCAGCACCUCUCUGACAGUUAUUUAAAGCCUGUCCGCAUUGUUCCAGAGCUAUUUCCUUUUUCCUCUAAGGCAACCUACGGUAGGAAACCGGCGGUCCCUCAGGUAGCCCGCUUCCACUUCACUUGAAGUCUUGCCUGCUCGUGGCAUUUGGGGCCAGCAGAGCGACCUGCAGAGGCUGAAAAUUGUCUGCAGCUUCCUGCCUUUUGUGGAGUGGGCCAAAGAUAACAGUUUUGGUUUGGUUUCGGACGGCCCAGGAGUGGGCCUGUUGUGAUUCAUGCGUUCCACUUGCAGAUUGGCAUUGCUGAGACUAUAAAAUGGACGUGCUUGCUUUGGACGGCCUUCCGUAGCCUUUGAAGGGCACAGAAGUGUUCUCCCUGGUUUUGGUGGGAGAAGCAGUCUGUUUGGUGUGCUAGGCUGGUGUGCCAGUUAGUAUCUCCUACUGAUAGGAUGGGAAAGGACAGGGGAUUGGGGUCUCAUUUGUGAAGACUGAAUGUUUGUAGAUGGGGCGUUUUGCACAUUACAUACAAUUUGCAGACCAGUGAUUUGGUAGUUUGUUUUAACCGAUCCAUCUGCCAUCUUAACUCUAGAAAUGAAUGGAAAAGACAGCGUGCUGUGAAUGGAAGUCGUGCUCUGUGAAACCAGCAGUUACUCGUGUGGUAACAGAUAUGGUCUGCGGGGAAAAAGAGAAUGAACUGAAAGCGAGACGUGGAAAUCAAGCUAUGGGAAAGGGUUUCUUUUGUGACGUUGUGGAUGACCGCGAGGAUUGGCAUUUGUAGCAACCAGAGCCCAUCUCAGUCAUGCAGGGAGUCGCUUUGUAAACGCAGUUUUCCUGCCUACGAGGUUUGUUUGCUUGGUGAUAAGAAACAAUGGUCAACUCGAUGUGCUACUUAAGCAUUUCAGUGCUUGAGAAGAGGAAUCUAGGUUUGUGCUGAACCUGUUUUCUUAGUUAGUCAAAUGCCGGCUUGGCAGCCAAUCUAGAAGGCUGGUAGCACCGAGGCAGAGUGAUUAUGAGGAUUGUUUUCAGCAGCCUCUGCUAAGUCUGCUUUUAUGAAACUUCUUUCCGUUGAGGAAAACAGGUCUUAUCUUCAGGAUUGGAAGCACCGCAUGAGGGAGAGGCACGGGCCAUACUUUUCAAGGUGCCUGAAAAGCAGUGAUGGUUUUGGCUUUGAGUAAGACUGGUGUUUAUCCACGAGAGUGAUAUUAGCUGCAGUUAAGGAGGGGAAAGCAUGGCACAGAGGAGCAACAAAAGGUGUGAGUUUUCCAGUUGUACAUGGAGCACUCGUUUUUGUUCUGCUAAGGAGAGCGUAGUUACAUUGGUUUGGGUUUGUUUUUUCCACUUCCUGCAUCUGGGGGUUGUUGUACCCUAAUACAGGCUCUUUUUCUUAUGGCACAGUGGGAUGGCACGAUCGGUGUGUGGCCUUGGGGGUACCCAGGCCUGAAGCCGUGCCCUCACUGUGUGCUGAGAGCUGGCCUUGGGGUGAAGCCAGGUGGUGCCUGACACUGUGUAAGCUCCCAGAGGAGGACAGCACACUCCAGGUCCCAUCCUUAUUUUACUGGUGUUGCAAACAAGUUAUUCUUGUACUCUGCAGAAAGCCUCACGACCACAAAACCAGCAAUAAUUGUAUAAAUGAUAAGCCUGUUUUCCUCCUCCUCCUCCCAGAUAUUCUGAGUGCGACAGACAGCAGAGAUGUGCAUUGCUGGAAUCCAGAGAGUUUCAUAACGUGGCAGCCACUUGCUGCAUAUGCCACUGCAUACAUAAAGCGGUAUUUAUUUUAAGUAUUGAGGAACAUUCUCUCUAAGCAGAAGAAAAAAGCGUUUAGGUGAAGCCGGUCCCGUUUGUUUACAAGUCUUGGUUUUUGUCUUUAUACAUUUUAAAUGCUUUUUAUUUGUAUUCUGAUUUUUUUUUUGAGCCUUUCAAGUUCAUGUUUUCCAUUUCUCGUUGUUCACACAACAAGAAAGCCUGGAUUGAGUCCUUACUUUAUAAAGGAAGAUCUCAUUGAGUGUCCCCUCUAACCACACAACCUCAGCCAAAGGGUGUUUAAAAAUACAGCCCCUUUUGAGAGAAUUGCUUGUUUUGAGAGCAGUUUUCAGCUCCGAGCUUGAGUAAUUUGAGUAAAUACUUUGUUGGCGGUUUAAGAAGCUUUUAACAACACCUAUCUCUGUUUGCUUUUCAGGGAGGUCUCUCUUCUACUUUUCUGAACAUCUAGAGCUUGUUUCACCUUUGUAUGUGCUGAUGAAGUCAGAAACGUAGUGUACCAGCAUGACUAACGUGUGUUGAAUAAUGCAUACAAAUGCCUUCAGAAAUGCAUGCACAGAUUUCAUGCAGUCCCCUUAAGCUGCUGAGCAGCAGGGAGGGUGCAGAGCCCCUCCUCAGGGCGGCAGGAGGAGGUGUGUUGGCAUCCUGGGAGGAGCAGAAAACCUCUGUGGUUCCCUGAGGAAAUCACAGAUGCGUUCGAGGCCUUAAGCUUGGUAGCCUGAUGUUUAACCCUGUCCUUGUUUUUGGAAUGCUGUUAACAGAUAAACGAGCAUUUUAAAUCUGUUGUUGUUUGUUGCGGUGCUGCUCUCAAGCAGUGCACAUCAGGACCAGGAGGAGACAUCCUUCCUCAGCUCAAAGAUUCUGCCUCUCCCCGCUAUGGAUACAAGCACAAGCACCUGGCCAUGCGUUCCCCAGGCUGCACAGACAGCUUUCUGGCCAGCUGCUCUCUCUGCUCUAUCCCUACCAAUAACAUCCAGGGAAAGCAGGGGCCGACUGCUGUCCUGUGGCUGUGCGAGAGCCCCAUUCUGUGCUCCCAGGCCAGGUGCUCCAGAAUGGCUUUUCUAGGAGGUUACGACUUGUGUGGUUUCAAUCGCAUAAGUCUUUGGCCUUGUGCCCUGAAGUGCCAGCAGAGGCAUGCUGUAAUUGCCCGUAAACGUACCGUCUGUCAUUAUCAUUGUUUAAUUAUUCCAGCUUCUCACCGCCACGCACUGCUCAGUGUCUCUCCUGCUAUCUUUAUUUAAUUGAGUGGAAAAAAUCUGAGACUUGUGCUUCACUUACGUCACUUUGUAUUUAUCCAGCAUCACUGGAUCCCGCUUUGAAGUCCCAGCUUUUGUAUGCAGAAGUCGGUCUUCUAUACAGACAAAAUAAUGUCCGUGUCAAAAGCGUAUGUUAGAAAUAGAAUCAAUAUUUUAACACAUGGUAAACUCCGGCCACAAAGCUCUUAGCACAGUCAAAUGAUUGUAUGAUCAUCCUUUGAAACUUGGCUCUGCCCCUGGGAAACAAGAAAGGGAAAGAAAACUCUUGAAUAACCAAGCCCUUGUCCUCACAGCGCAGGACUGUUCUCAGCCUGUCGCUUUGUCUGUGCCACUCCUUCCUUUUCCGUCUCCCAGCUCUGUUUUCUUCUGCAUCAAACGCAUUCAGCUCCAGGAGCCUUCUUUCUCCAGCCCAUCCCUAUGGAUCUGUUUUAGUGCAUUACCAGACGUCAGUUCCGUCCCGAGAUCGCCCUGCACCGUCCCCGUGGCAGUUCCACCACGUUUCAGACACCUCUACGCUUCUGUACCAAGCUUGCAACUAACCAAAUUUUAAUGUGAUGAAAAAUGUAAUCUUUCUGAGAUCUCUCCAACGCUCCCCUUGUCCGUAUGGCCUGAAAAGACUUGGCAGCGUGUUGGCUGCUUUUCUUUUCUCCCCUUUCCCCGUGUCAGUGACAAAUGCACAUUGUUUUUCUGGUCUUUCAGUCUCCGAGCCAGACCAACGCUUUGUGCAGCACCUAGCUCACCGGGUUGCUAUCAAGGCAGCUGUGUGCUCCUACACCAACACAAAAUAUUGGGGUUGCUGGCACUCACUCUGGCCUAGUUUGCCUCUCUCCUCGCAGAAGGAGUUUCAUGAUGUCCUCCUGGAAGAUCAUUGUACACCUGAACAGGUCUACCUUUCAGGAUUCUAUUUUACUUUUUCAUAAAUCCUCAGCUGAGGUUUUCAUUUGCAGGUGUGCUCCUUGUAAUGCUCGGCUCCCUGACUGAGCCAGCAUCAUUUCUGGGGUUGUACUUUCCGGCUUCUCAUAGCUGUAAGAUUAUUAAUUUCAUACUAUUUUCUGAUUUGUUUCAUUUUUCAUCCAUCUCUUUCCUGCAGGAGAGAGCAAUUUAUAUCAUGAUUUCACUGUGGAAUUGACUUCAGGCUUUACUGCUAUUUGUCACCAUUCAGGAAAUCCAUCCCUGGCUCGAGAAGAACACUCAGUCCCUGCUGACAGUUUGAAAGAGGGAGAGAAAAUAGAUAGCAGAGCUGCAGCUAUUAGGACCAACAGGCACAUAUUUUAUUCCAACUCAAUUUUCCAUUUCCAAAUGCCUUUUGAAGAAAACCUUUCUGUUUGAAAGAACAUGAAGGAAGGUUGUGGGUACCGGUGGGUUUUUUGGGCGGGUGGGGGGUUGUUUUGGUAGUGAUGGUUUGUUGUCAAUGUUGUUUCGUAGGGACUCUCCUGUUCUUGAUGAUGUCCAUCUUCUUCCACGUUUCAGGCAGCAGGCUCACAACAACGACAAGAUGUUAUCCCACGGAAAGCUGCUGCUGCUGCCUCUGGCCUUGGUUAACCUGUUGGCAAUGGUGCUUGCCUGGGCAUGGGGCAACUGGCUUUUCACACAGCUCAGCAUGGACGUGCUGCCACUCCCAGUCACUUUUAGGACACAGUAGAAUUGUUUUUCUUGAGAUUACUGUACCCAUUAAUCUUAAGAAAAACAUGUAAUAAAACUGUUCAGCCUUCCUGGGGCCACCACUCCCAGAGACCUUUCCCCUUUUUGGCUUCUGCAAUAGCUUCUUUCCUUUGGCUCUGCACCUUUAUCAGCUAGAAAUGAUAAACUACAAAGCUGGUUGGCUUCAGGCUCUCUUUUUUGCAGGACAGGCUAUGCUUGUGCCUAUUGAGGACUGGAAGAUCACAGAGGAUGAGGGGGAAAGGGAAGGCUGCUCGCUCUUGUACACAGUGCAGGGGCAGGAUACAGCCUUUUAUGAAGUUCAGCAAAGAAAAACUUGGGCUUUCCUGCACACCGUGCCAUACCAGUCAGCCUGGUACUUAUGUUCCUGGACCUUUGAAGGCAUGCAGAUCUGCAGUGCUGCUACAGCAUCAGAGUCCAACUGCAAUGUGUGGCAUGUGAGAAGCUGGUGAACCCGCGGCCACGUUCGGCUUGAAUGCACUUUCCUUGGGAGGAAGUGGCUUUUCCCUCGGAGAGCUCAACUCCCCAGGGUCCCUGUGAGGUCAGUGGAAAAAGUGAUUUCAUCAGAGUAUGUUCCAGAAUGCCUUGACAAACGCUUAUCAUUUUGACUGUGGAGCAAACUUAACCUCUGUAGUUUUAAACCCGCUUUUGUGAGUACCAAACCCUGCCUGCUCCUUAGCUUUGGGAGUUAUGCUGUCCCUGCUAGGCAGAUUGCCUACUGCGGUUCAGGUGCUGCAGGCCCAAGCUGAGAGAAGCUCGUCCAGCAGCGCACAGCGUGUCCUAUUGCAUCCUGCUUCAUCCUUUGGCUUAUCCUGGAAUAGGUUAGCAGGUAGCAGAGAAAUCAAAUGAAGUCAAAAAAUGUUGGUUUCUUUCUGGAUGGCCUGACUGGACUGGAAUAAUCAGCAUCUGUUUCGGUUUAAAUGAGUUUUCAUUCCGGCCUUUUUUCCCUUUUCGAAGUACAGACAACUGAAGACUUUAAUUUGCCCCAUCUUUUACUGUAGAGAAAAGUAGAAGUUUCUGUCAGCUGAUACUAUUGCACCUAGAAUAUCUAUACUUAAAAAAGAAUACAAUUUAUUGUCUAUUAUGAAUGAAAAAGCUCUUGCUGGUUUCUUUCAUUUGUAGUGUUGACUUUGAAAGAUAAAUUGUUUGAACUGGUUGACUCUCCAUUUGUAUAACUGAAGGUUAGCUUGCUUGAUAGCCUGAUGGGUCUGCAGUUUUUGCUUGCACUAAAUAAGCUGCAGAACCGCCAGCCCUGGGCAGCUAGGACACAGCACAUACUUGAAAACCAAUUGUCACUUUUACUGGUAAAUCAGGCAGAAUAAUCUCAUGCAUGACAUCCUGGAUGUUUCAGGAUUGAUCCAUCUGGAAGAGCCCCCAUAGGGCCUAGAAUGUGUUUCUAAAGCUGACACACAUACAUAAGUGCUAAUGAGUUUAAAGUUGAAGCUGACAGGCCCAGAACUGUUUUUACCUGGUAGUUUUGCAACCCUAAACCAUGCAGCUUGGUUGUGAGGACACAGGCAUGUUAAACAAACUCCAUCCUUUUUUUUCCAUAUGUGUUUGCUGUGUAGAACCAGCAGCAAGAAAGUGUAGAAAGAAUUUCUUGUCACUCCAUUGAGCAGACCUGACUCUGAGCACAGAGAAGGAACAGAGUAAAAAUAGUAACAUCUUGCUGUACUGUACUCCCUCAGCAGAGAACCACAUUUUGAGGUUCCCCUUCUUUGUGUCCUUAUUUGUAUUGCAACAGAAGCUUUCGCUCUGGUGGGCAGUCUUUCUCUUCAGUGUGGUGGAUCUUCUUGUUGGCCACUCUGUCCCAGUGCUGGUUUCUAGGUUUUGCCAGUGGUUCUGGAUGUGUAUGUACGUUUUCUGUGCCUCAUACUUCACCUCUCUCCCCUUUUUAGGCUGUGCCAGCUCUUCCAGCCUCCCCACUUUCUGUGUACCUGUGACCAUGGCAAUACAGCCAGGAUUACAUCUAAGGUGAAGACAGAAAAACCAUGAUGAAGGUUUAUGCUAUUUUCAUGACGAAUAUGAUGCUCACAAAAAUGAAAAGGUGUUUGUCUUCAAAGCUUUCUUCUUUCCCACAGAACGAGUGAACACGUUGCAACCCUUGCCUGAAAGACUGAGGCCAAGUUUCUCAAAAACUGACAAUUCAGGAAAAGGGAUAGGAUAGGAUGGGAAAGUCUGGGCAGAGUGAGGUGUAGAUGAGAGGAAGGUAAAACCUUAAAAUGGGAAUUUGGAGGUUUGAGAUGAGGUGGAGGGAGGCUGAGAUUCACGAAGAAAGUGUAAUCAGUAAUGAGAGGAGGUUUAUGCUGAGACCAUCUGUGCAAGGAACCAGUAGCAGGGGAGGGACAGAAGUCAGCAGAAUUGUUUGUCAGUGCAGAGAAAGUCACAGGGGAUAGGAAGUUAGAAGAAGAACUGGGCAAAGGAGACUGAAUGAAGAGCUGGCGUAGGGAACCAGAACUGGAAGUGCUGUUGGAUGCUAAGAAACUAGAGGCGGGUGGUAGACAUCUGAAGGUGUUAGCUGGGCAUAGGCAGAGGGGAAGGUGGUGGAGUACUGGGGAAGGCUGCGGGAUGAGGGGCAUGUGCUGGCUGGGCCAUCUCUGCUCUCCAGGCUGGCAGCCAAGCAGGGCUUACCCAAGGCUGGCCUUCACUGUGGCUCAGCUGGCAAAGAAUUUGCCUCUUGUUGGUCUGCCCCAGACACAGAGAGAAUUUAGUGCCCUGGGAUGAGGCGGCAGCAGCUGCCUGCCUGGGGGAGGAGAGGGCUUGCUUGUAGUUAGAUGGAAAAAUAAAAUUACAGUUGGGAGGAGGUAGUGAAAAGGCCACGUGAACAAGAGAGAAAAGGUCAAUUCAUUAGUCCGGCAGCCACUAAAUUAAGAAAAGGCAAGUGAGGCUAUAAUAUCAGAGGUAUCUGAAUUCAGUCAAAGAUGGUUUUGAAGUUGCUGGAUUGAUCUUGUGGUCAGCUUAAGCAAGCUUAACAAAUUAAUUACAGUAUUUUAGUUCAUUGUGUAAGAGCUAGCUAAUAAAUCACAGUGCUUUGUAGAAACAUGCUUGAAACAACUGUGUAAAUACUAAAUAGCCUUAGGAGUGGUCUUACGAAUCCACUGAAUAAUCCAAAUUCCAGCACUCUUCCCCCUCUGCUGCUGUUCUAGAUAUAGGAUAACAGUCACUGCUGUUAUCUGCUCCUUUUUG
ensembl:lncRNA